rnacentral:rRNA from 1 species
AUUGAACGCUGGCGGCAUGCUUUACACAUGCAAGUCGAACGGCAGCGCGGGCUUCGGCCUGGCGGCGAGUGGCGAACGGGUGAGUAAUACAUCGGAACGUGCCCAGUAGUGGGGGAUAGCUCGGCGAAAGCCGGAUUAAUACCGCAUACGACCUGAGGGUGAAAGCGGGGGAUCUUCGGACCUCGCGCUAUUGGAGCGGCCGAUGGCAGAUUAGCUAGUUGGUGGGGUAAAGGCCCACCAAGGCGACGAUCUGUAGCUGGUCUGAGAGGACGGCCAGCCACACUGGGACUGAGACACGGCCCAGACUCCUACGGGAGGCAGCAGUGGGGAAUUUUGGACAAUGGGCGAAAGCCUGAUCCAGCAAUGCCGCGUGUGUGAUGAAGGCCUUCGGGUUGUAAAGCACUUUUGGCGGGAACGAAAAGGACUGUGCCAAUACCACGGUUCGAUGACGGUACCCGCAGAAUAAGCACCGGCUAACUACGUG